rnacentral:tRNA from 2 species
GGGGAUGUAGCUCAGCUGGCUAGAGUGCUUGACUGGCAGUCAAGAGGUCGUGGGUUCGAGUCCCAUCUUCUCCACUA